rnacentral:lncRNA from 1 species
GCCAACAUUCUGCCUAUUUGAGAUGUAGAUUGUUCUUGGACAGAGAGCAAAGCAGAGUGCUGAUUCGGCUCAAUUCCUCUGCAGCCUUGGAUCUGACUGACGGUGCAGCAUUGACGACAUGCAGAGGGGAUUUCGGGAGGAUCAAGGGGGAUAGCACUUGGCCGGCUCCCAGAUAAGACAAUCACACUCAAGGUGCUGUCCAAGUGUUGCCGGGAGUCCUGGGAACACCAGAGAUUGGGGACAAAUCUAUUAGAAUGGAUAAAACGAUCAAUUGCAACAGACCAGAGUUAGAACAGCCUUGCACUUCAAGCUGCUGAUCGUAAUAGACACUGCAGCAUUCCUCCCAUAUAACAAGGUGGCAGUGAGUGGAAGAGGAGGGGGAGGAUCUUCCAAUAUGUCAAGGUAUCUCCUUGUGCAGUUUAUCCAUACCUCACAACCUCCAAGGAUGCCUGCCAUAGAUGUGGGUGAAAUGUCAGGAGAGAAUACUUCUGGAACAUGGCCACACAGCCCGAAAGACAUACAACUACCCUGUGAUCCCGGCCAUGAAAGUCUUCGACAACACAUUACUGCACUUUUGUUAUUGGAGAAUUACUCCAGGCCCUUGUGCAUUUGUACCACUCUACUAUUUUAAAUCUGUUUCAAAGCAAAAUGUUAAUUGGUUUUAACUGUUGUUAUUUAGCACUAUUUUAAUCUGAAUUUUGUGUUUUCUAUUAUAUGUAUCUUAUUGUAUUGUAUCUUUUUUUUAAGCUACUUUGAAUUUCAGCCUAGAAAAAAAACAUGGGAUACACUAGUAAAUCAAAUGGUGGGUCAAUGUAUGUCAUGGGCUGGAUCUACAUUGCCAAAUAAGGCAGUUUGAACUGCAUUAUAUGGUCAGUGUAGAUGUCUAUAAUGCAGAUUGAAGUGUAUUGAACUGGAUAAUAUGAGUUUAUACUGCCUUAUAAUUAAGUUCAGUGCUGUUAAUCUGCUUUCAGAAACUGCAUAUAUGACAGUGUGGAUCCAACCAUAGUUGUGGGUUUGGCUGUAACAGGCAUGGGCAAACUUUGGCCCUCCAGGUGUUUUGGACUCCAACUCCCACAAUUACUGGCUGUCACUUGACACUUGAAGGCAGUAUUGUCUCUU